CUUUGAGCUACAUGUGUGCUGUGAGGGUAUAUAUGUUCUGUACAGAUGGCAUGUGGAUGUUAAUGCAUGAGAAAAAAAUAUAGGCUACAGCAAAUGUAUUAGCCUACACAGAUGUAAAAUGAACAGUUUCGUCUUUUUAACACAGUAUAUUGGAUUGUUGUCAUAUGCUGUCUCGUGUCCUCCAGCAACUUUCGCUUUUGUUAGCAUCGACUGAAAACCAGUCGAUCAGGUUGAACCGCGCAGUACAGAAGUCGACAGCUCACACUUUACGAAGCUCUCGCUUUUCGCUGGUGUUUGGAGAUUUUCCCACAGUCAUGUCAGAGGGACAGUCGGAUGAUGGAAUGGAAUGCCAGGAAUAUGGAAAUCCACAGCCCAUCAAUAUCUCAAGCAGUGCUGAUCAAGAUAUGGAGGAUGUAAGUCAGGGUUCUAAUGCUCAGAAUUUACCAUCAAGCCGUGUUGAAGGUCAAGACUCUAGAUCAUCUCUGGAUGAACAGAAGCAUCAGGAUAUCACAACAAACAAAUCAGACUCACAGCCAGAGGAGGACAUUUGUAAAAAUGGUGAUAUAAACACAACCCAAUCACAACCCUCAGCACCACUGGAUAUUGCCAACUUGAAAAUCAAAGUGGACUGGACAGAACCAUUUCCAGAUAAAUGGAGUAAAAAAUUACAGAUUGCCAUUCAGAGAUGGUUGUCCAAACUGGAAGGAGCACCAUCUGUCCACAGCAUUAAACUCAUGGAUGAUCAAUCAUUGGCACAGGUGCAGAUUACACCAUCAACGGCUCUAGAAACUUUAGAAAAUCAUGGGACUGUAUCUUUGAAUUUUAAACAUGAAAAUAAGGAUGCGACUGCGCAGAUUUUUCUGGAUGAAGCACAUUCUGUGACUGUAUCACAAAACACCUCCACGUCGGACAAGAACAGAAUUCCAUCAUCAAAGGUAUCAAGUUUACUUUUUUAAGGUUUUGAUUGCUUAG
rnacentral:lncRNA from 1 species